rnacentral:rRNA from 1 species
UUGAACGCUGGCGGCAGGCCUAACACAUGCAAGUCGAGCGCGAAAGGUUUUCGGACUGAGUAAAGCGGCGGACGGGUGAGUAACGCGUGGGAAUCUGCCCAGUAGUGGGGGACAACAGUCGGAAACGACUGCUAAUACCGCAUACGCCCUACGGGGGAAAGGGGGGGAUCUUCGGACCUCUCGCUAUUGGAUGAGCCCGCGUCGGAUUAGCUAGUUGGUAGGGUAAAGGCCUACCAAGGCUACGAUCCGUAACUGGUCUGAGAGGAUGAUCAGUCACACUGGAACUUGGACACGGUCCAGACUCCUACGGGAGGCAGCAGUGGGGAAUAUUGGACAAUGGGGGCAACCCUGAUCCAGCCAUGCCGCGUGUGUGAAGAAGGCCUUAGGGUUGUAAAGCACUUUCAGUGGGGAGAAAGGUUUGUCACCUAAUACGUGAUGAAAUUGAUGUUACCCACAGAAGAAGCACCGGCUAACUCCGUGCCAGCAGCCGCCGCAG